rnacentral:rRNA from 1 species
AUUGAACGCUGGCGGCAUGCUUUACACAUGCAAGUCGAACGGCAGCGCGGGCUUCGGCCUGGCGGCGAGUGGCGAACGGGUGAGUAAUGCAUCGGAACGUGCCCAGUAGUGGGGGAUAGCCCGGCGAAAGCCGGAUUAAUACCGCAUACGACCUGAGGGUGAAAGCGGGGGACCGAAAGGCCUCGCGCUAUUGGAGCGGCCGAUGUCGGAUUAGCUAGUUGGUGGGGUAAAGGCUUACCAAGGCGACGAUCCGUAGCUGGUCUGAGAGGACGACCAGCCAAAUGGGGACUGAGGCGCGGCCCAGACCCUGCGGGGGGGCAGAGGGGGGGAAUUUGGGAAAAGGGGGGCAACCCGGACCCAGCCAGGCCGGGGGGGGGAAGAAGGCCUUGGGGUUGGAAACCGUUUUUGUUGGGGAAGAAACCCUUGGGGCUAAUCCCCCGGGGGGAUGACGGUACCGGAAGAAUAAGCACCGGCUAAAUACGU